CUGCAGUCGAACGCUUCUUACUUAUCGAACUUCGGUUCACCAAGUAAGAGGAGUGGCGAACGGGUGAGUAACACGUGGGUAACCUGCCCAUCAGAGGGGGAUAACACUUGGAAACAGGUGCUAAUACCGCAUAAUUCAGUUUACCGCAUGGUAGAGUGAUGAAAGGCGCUUUUGCGUCACUGAUGGAUGGACCCGCGGUGCAUUAGCUAGUUGGUAGGGUAAUGGCCUACCAAGGCAACGAUGCAUAGCCGACCUGAGAGGGUGAUCGGCCACACUGGGACUGAGACACGGCCCAGACUCCUACGGGAGGCAGCAGUAGGGAAUCUUCGGCAAUGGACGAAAGUCUGACCGAGCAACGCCGCGUGAGUGAAGAAGGUUUUCGGAUCGUAAAACUCUGUUGUUAGAGAAGAACAAGGAUGAGAGUAAAAUGUUCAUCCCUUGACGGUAUCUAACCAGAAAGCCACGGCUAACUACGUGCCA
rnacentral:rRNA from 1 species